GAUGAACGCUGGCGGCGUGCCUAAUACAUGCAAGUCGAGCGAAUGGAUUAAGAGCUUGCUCUUAUGAAGUUAGCGGCGGACGGGUGAGUAACACGUGGGUAACCUGCCCAUAAGACUGGGAUAACUCCGGGAAACCGGAGCUAAUACCGGAUAAUAUUUUGAACUGCAUGGUUCGAAAUUGAAAGGCGGCUUCGGCUGUCACUUAUGGAUGGACCCGCGUCGCAUUAGCUAGUUGGUGAGGUAACGGCUUACCAAGGCAACGAUGCGUAGCCGACCUGAGAGGUUGAUCGGCCACACUGGGACUGAGACACGGCCCAGACUCCUACGGGAGGCAGCAGUAGGGAAUCGUCCGCAAUGGACGAAAGUCUGACGGAGCAACGCCGCGUGAGUGAUGAAGGCUUUCGGGUCGUAAAACUCUGUUGUUAGGGAAGAACAAGUGCUAGUUGAAUAAGCUGGCACCUUGACGGUACCUAACCAGAAAGCCACGGCUAACUACGUGCCAGCCGCCGCGGUAA
rnacentral:rRNA from 1 species